rnacentral:rRNA from 1 species
CCUACGGGAGGCAGCAGUGGGGAAUAUUGGACAAUGGGGGGAACCCUGAUCCAGCCAUGCCGCGUGUGUGAAGAAGGCCCUCGGGUUGUAAAGCACUUUCAGUGAGGAAGAACGCCUGGUGGUUAAUACCCAUCAGGAAAGACAUCACUCACAGAAGAAGCACCGGCUAACUCCGUGCCAGCAGCCGCGGUAAUUCGGAGGGUGCGAGCGUUAAUCGGAAUUACUGGGCGUAAAGCGCGCGUAGGUGGCUUGAUAAGCCGGUUGUGAAAGCCCCGGGCUCAACCUGGGAACGGCAUCCGGAACUGUCAAGCUAGAGUGCAGGAGAGGAAGGUAGAAUUCCCGGUGUAGCGGUGAAAUGCGUAGAGAUCGGGAGGAAUACCAGUGGCGAAGGCGGCCUUCUGGACUGACACUGACACUGAGGUGCGAAAGCGUGGGUAGCAAACAGGAUUAGAUACCCGGGUAGUC